rnacentral:rRNA from 1 species
UACGUAGGGUGCAAGCGUUGUCCGGAAUUAUUGGGCGUAAAGAGCUCGUAGGCGGUUUGUCGCGUCUGCUGUGAAAUUUCGGGGCUCAACCCCGAACUUGCAGUGGGUACGGGCAGACUAGAGUGUGGUAGGGGAGACUGGAAUUCCUGGUGUAGCGGUGAAAUGCGCAGAUAUCAGGAGGAACACCGAUGGCGAAGGCAGGUCUCUGGGCCACUACUGACGCUGAG